ensembl:snoRNA
GUGCGCUUAACAAGAUGUAAUGUGAUGUGACAGCACGGUGUACCAAGUGCAAUGUUAAAACAAAAGCCAUGAGUCUUUUAAGCCCAGUGUGUAAAGAUACACUCUGAGUUACAUCUCGAAGGCACAACU